GUGGGGAAUAUUGGACAAUGGGGGGAACCCUGAUCCAGCCAUGCCGCGUGUGUGAAGAAGGUCUUCGGAUUGUAAAGCACUUUAAGUUGGGAGGAAGGGCAGUAAGUUAAUACCUUGCUGUUUUGACGUUACCGACAGAAUAAGCACCGGCUAACUUCGUGCCAGCAGCCGCGGUAAUACGAAGGGUGCAAGCGUUACUCGGAAUUACUGGGCGUAAAGCGUGCGUAGGUGGUUCGUUAAGUCUGCCGUGAAAGCCCCGGGCUCAACCUGGGAAUGGCGGUGGAUACUGGCGGGCUAGAGUGCGGUAGAGGGUGGUGGAAUUCCCGGUGUAGCAGUGAAAUGCGUAGAGAUCGGGAGGAACAUCUGUGGCGAAGGCGGCCACCUGGACCAGCACUGACACUGAGGCACGAAAGCGUGGGGAGCAAACAGGAUUAGAAACCCCAGUAGUCC
rnacentral:rRNA from 1 species